ACCUUGUUGUUUUUUUUUCUUCUCAUCGUUUUCUAUAGGAGUAAAAGACCGUUGUUUUUUUUUUAUGGAUUUUUCUUAAAUGUUUUUUACCGCCGUGCUGCCCUACCUCUUCUACGUCUUGGUGGUGCUCGGUGGUAUUGGGGAGGCUGGUAAUAAUACGGUUGGUAACGUUGAGACGGUUGCCGGUAAGAUCGCAUUGAGUUGCUUCUCAUUGAUUGAUUACCCUGAUUGCCU